rnacentral:misc_RNA from 1 species
UAUUUUUUUGUUACAUAAUUGUAACUUCAUUGGUUCUUCCGGUAGUUAUUUGAUCUUCAUAUAAAACAAGAUAUUCAACUCAAAUUUCUUAACAUAUUUUUUUGUUUCAGCAAUCCCUGCAUAAUAUAUAUUUCAUAGAAACUUCAGUUAGUUUCAAGCUAUAACUUCAUAUAAUUAUCAGUAUUUCGACAGAGCAAUAGUUUCUAAAAGUAAAAAGACAGUGGAUUGUUUCCCUUCCUGAUCUUCUCUGUAGAACAUUUUAUUGUAGAUUACCUCAUGUUAAACAGAUUAAAAGGCUACUAACCAUGUGAAACAAGCAACCUCAUUUCCUGCUAGAAAUCCUUCACACUAUUAUCUCCUUUAUUUCUAAUAUUAAAUAUCAAAGAACAUUAUCGUUGUAAACAUGAUUUUGACCGGCAAUUACCUAAUUUUAAAUGACAUACAUCUCAAUUGCCGUAGGAUUGAACUCCUCAUCAAGUACCCUAAAAUGAAGAUGAAGAGAAUUUGAAGGAAAUACAUAUAUAUGCACAAAG